CGGUCCUUCAUCCAAGAACCGAUAAACGCGGUGACCGGCGCCUUCACGGCAUUAAUGAUUAAUUUUAUAAUCCAGUCUGGUAGUUUUAAGAAGCGAGUUCUUGCAUCCGCCCUAUUCGAAUCGGCGGGGCGGUGGAGCGCCAGCGAGCCCAAGGUCUCCAAGGCGAGCAUGGCAGGACUGGAGGGCUCCCGGCAGGGCGCCUCGGCGUCCAUCGGGACCCCGACGGAGGUGCCGGAGAUCUUUCGGCUACAACGCCGGGCAGGUGGGGCUCGUUAGCCGUGGUAGGCAAUCUGCCUAGGAGAGCAAACUCCGAACAACAAACCCGGGCAGGUGAGGUUCGUUAGCCGUGGUAGGCAAUUCACCUAGGAGAGCAAACUCCGAACAAUAAACCCGGGCAGGUGGAGGUCGUUAGCGAAAGCAGUUCAUCUAGGAGAGCAAACUUCGAUUACAAAACCGGGCAGGUGGAGGUCGUUAGCGUGAGCAGUUCACCUAGGAGAGCAAACUCCGAUUGCAAACCCGGGCAGGUGGAGGUCGUUAGCGAAAGCAAUUCAUCUAGGAGAGCAAACUCCGAUUACAAACCCGGGCAGGUGGAGGUCGUUAGCGAAAGCAGUUCACCUAGGAGAGCAAACUCCGAUUACAAACCCGGGCAGGUGGAGGUCGUUAGCGAAAGCAGUUCACCUAGGAGAGCAAACUCCGAUUACAAACCCGGGCAGGUGAGGUUCGUUAGCCGUGGUAGGCAAUUCACCUAGGAGAGCAAACUCCGAACAAUAAACCCGGGCAGGUUGGGCUCGUGAGCCAUCAUAGGUAAUACACCUAGGAGAGCAAACUCCGAACAAUAAACCCGGGCAGGUUGGGCUCGUGAGCCGUCAUAGGCAAUACACCUAGGAGAGCAAACUCCGAACAAUAAACCCGGGCAGGUUGGGCUCGUGAGCCGUCAUAGGUAAUACACCUAGGAGAGCAAACUCCGAUCAUAAAACCCGGGCAGGUGGAGCUCGUCAGCCGUGGUGGGCAAUCUGCCUAGGAGAGCAAACUCCGAACAAUAAACCCGGGCAGGUGGAGCUCGUCAGCCGUGGUAGGCAGCCUGCCUAGGAGAGCAAACUCCGAACAAUAAACCCGGGCAGGUGGAGCUCGUCAGCCGUGGUAGGCAGUUUGCCUAGGAGAGCAAACUCCGAACAAUAAACCGGGGCUUGUGGUGCUCGUUAGAUGUCGUAGACAAUCCACGUGAUGGGAACACCAAAGAAAAGGAAAAUAAAAAGGAACACCAGAAAAAGGAAAAUAUAGUUACAAAACAUCAAUAAAAUAAAAAUAAAAACACAGAUCAUCCACCUUCAGGCCCUAACAUCUCCAAAAUUAUGGGUGAGUCUUUUCUGGGGAGAAAGAGGCUCAUCCAGACCAAGGAACAUCAAAAAGGGAUGAUAUAGAAAGGAACACCAAAGAAAUGGGAAAAAGAGAGAAAAACAUCGCAAAAGAAAA